UCCUCGGUAGUAUAGUAAUGAGUAUCCCCGCCUGUCACGCGGGAGACCGGGGUUCAAUUCCCCGCCGGGGAG
rnacentral:tRNA from 1 species